GACAACCAGCCAAUGAGAACGCGGAACACUAAUGACGAGUCAUAGCGAUAUAGCAUGCUAAAAAUGUUGUGGAUCCACUCCCACGAAUCCAUCCUUAACAGGAACAGAUUUCCGAAAACUACAGAACGGCAGAGAAGUAAACAACGAUGUCCAACAAUUUAUUUGAUUGCUUCCUCUUAUGCUCUGAGAUAUCUUAUUCUCAGUUCUUUGGGAAAGAGUGGAAGCUUUGAGCUGAAGACUUCUUCUUGAAACAGCAUGUGUCUGCGCACCACUUGCCUACUGUACCAGCCAGUCCUGCAUUCACCCUCAAUCUGUCAUCUCGUCUCAGCCUUUGGGAGGAGUACGAACUGCCUGACAGAUGGGGGGAGCAUUGGAGUCUCAGUCGCCGUCACUUCGCUCGAUACGGCUCUGAUCUGGCACCCCUGCAGUUGAGUGAACAGCAGACACAUAUAAAUCUGUACGCUUUAAAGCUAGCUUUCAUCAGGAAAUGGCACAGUCGCUCCACCAUACAGUACAUAGAUAUACACCCAAUGAUUAUAAACUAAAGACAGAAAUUAUGCAUUGAGGUGCGCUACUAUUACCAUUUUAUUUUAUUUUUAAUUUUUUUGCAAACAAACCCAAAAAUUUAAAUCAACGUGUGUUCUUGAAACAAAUUUCAUUCCAAAAGUUAUUCAUUUUAGCUAUUCAACCAUAUGAGGUAUCCAACUGUUGCCAAAUUAGCAUAUGCCUUUCCAACGUUAUGUCAGUAUUAGUGAAUUUUUGAUUAUAAAUAAACCUACAUUUCAUUCGGUACUGAAAUGUAUUGAUAAAGUUACUGAAAAUUAUUAUACCAAAUAUUUUUGUACAAUGCAUUUUAUGCUUAUUAAGAAUAUUGUGCUUUUAGCUUAACAGCAUGCUAAUAUCGAAACAUGAUUUAUUUUUGACACCUAAAGUAGUUAUUUAUUUAGAGAGGCCCAAAAUCUCUGUCUUAUGAUAGCUUUGCAUAGUAAGAGAUAUAUAACAUGCAAAUUGCACAUGGGAUAAAGUAAAUGAAUCACACACGCACAAAAAUAUAUAUAUUUUUUUUCAAUUUAUUACCUAAAAAAAGAAAAUGUCCUAUCACAAGUCACACUGAAAUGUAUUGCUUAAGAAAAAAAUAUAUUUAGAUAUUUUCCUUUUUUUUUUUUUUACUUGAUUAUUUCCAUUAUAUUCCACAUAAACAAAACAGGGCACAGCAAGGCCCUUUUUCUGCCUUCCGCCCACUUAAAAAAAAAAGCACAAAGAAAUACAUAAUUCACAGUUACCAUUUUGGUUUCAUAAAUUAAUACAGUCACACAUGUGCUACACCGGUCUAUAGCUAGAACAUUGUAAAUUGUUUUUUUUUCUUGACUCUUGUAAUCAGUUUUUAUUGGCUACAAGAAAGAACAGGCAACUUAAAUGAUGUGAUCAGAACUCCAACAAACUAUUAAAAAGGACCCCCGUUCCCUCCCUCCACCCUCUUUCAAUUACCCUAUCCUAAAACUCAGAUCAUCUCCUAUGCUUUUUUUCAAUUUUCACUUUUUUUUUUAACUGUUUUACAUAUAGGUGAGGCACACACAGAGUAUAUUUCAUACAUAUAUAAAAAUUAAAUAAUGAUUUUCUUGGGGGAGAGGGAGAAAUCGUCCAUUAAAGUCAUUUAUCUGAGAAAAAGGGAAGUGCAUGUUGUCAGUGUGUCCUUAAAGGACAUCUCAAUGGAGAGUUAGGGCACUUUGAUGCUAUAGAACUGCAGUUGAACCUUACUUUUUUUCAGUUAAAUUUGUUGCUUCUUUGUAGGACAGCAGGGUUCAAGGGACGUAAUCAAACAAACAACGGAACACACUGAUGGAACCUGUUUGUACUCCAGGUUGUGACUUGUAACAAUCAAAACCAUAAAACAGACAAUAUUGUAAAAGAGCUCCUAUUAAUUGAUAAAACCUGCAUAAAUGCGAAUAAUUUGUUCAGAUUUUUUCCGUACACACUGAAGGGGCAAAACUUUAAGGCACUGAAGCCUUGACAUAAUAGAGCCUCUACCUCCUAAACACAAAAAUUGCCCCCGAAAAAUUUAUGCUUUAACAAAAACACAGGACAAGAACAUCCCUAUGUUGUCCACCACUCUGCAAGUGUUUCGAUAAUGAACGUUAAGGCCACUUGAACAGAAGAAAAAAAAAGGAAAAGACAAUGUUCCCCUUCAGGUAGGUAAUCUCAUUGCAAACUCAGUGAGUGCAACAUGGAUGUGGUUUAGGACAUUUUUACAUUUAUUUCCAAGUAGUCAUUGGGGUGAACGUCGGUUUCUAACAUCCCUGUUAGUCCGCAUCUGGACAAGGUCGAUGGGAGUUUUGGGGUUUGCUUCGAGGAUCCCUUUGAUGUUGGGAGUAGAAAAAGUUCCAUUGUUCCUUAGUUAGUCCGGGAAUGAUCCAUGUACAGUAGAAUUCCAGUCCCGUUUUGGUUUGCGACUGAUAUGUAACAUCACAUUCCUAAUUCGAAAAUCCCAAGUACCUGGAGCAAAUGUUUUUUCCCCCCAUUUUCAUUUUUUGACAAAUUCAUGCUUGUACAUCUUUUCUUAUCAGCACCAGUAUCUCAGUAUUGUUGUUAUUAUUAUUAUUAUUAUUUUAUAUAAAAAGGAUCAGGAUAAUUCACACUUUUGCAUGCAAAGAGAAGUCCCAUAUAGCAGCAGAACCAUCUGAUAGAAUAUGUCAGUUCGUCUACGUAUGAGGCACUAUCAAGAGUGUGAAGGCAGGGGAUGUUUAUGUUGGAAUCUGCAAAGAGGUCUGGCCAAUGGACAAAUAAGCAUUGGUAAUUUUGUUAAAACUGUAUCAAAACUGUCAGCGUUUUUUGGGAUAAAACCCUUGAAUGGUGUUUUUUUUUUUUUUUUUUUUUUUGUCGAAUGCAUAAA